GGCCGUUUGGCGAUGUGGUUAGCGUGUGUGACUCUUACCAAGAAGUUUGGGGUUCAAUUCCCCGCCUGGGCC